AUGUGCACUCUCCUAUAUUUUUGCACAUUUUCUGCGUUUUGUUGCACACAUGCUAUAAAAGUUGGCUUGUCCCAUGAUGUAGUUGCACGAAAAUCAGUUAAAAAGGAAAAGAUUCUAGAUCUCCCCGUUUUGAUCUCUGUUUAUGCUAUCUUCAACAACUAUGGAGAAGCUAUUUUUGCAAAGAGAAAUUUGGUGAGGGAGAAAGGAAAAGGCAAGGAGGAAGGACCUGGACAGGAGGACAAAGGAUCACCUCUUUUUUCACCCUUGCUGGUGCCUACUGCCUGCUCUAGCAAUGAAGAUCCAGACAUGGUAACCCCUUUGUUUCAUGGGUAA
rnacentral:rRNA from 1 species